UACGGAGGGGGCAAGCGUUAUUCGGAAUUAUUGGGCGUAAAGGGCGCGUAGGCGGCUAGAUGUGUCAAAGGUGAAAUCCCUCGGCUCAACUGAGGAACUGCCUUUGAAACUGUCUGGCUUGAGGCCGGGAGAGGGCAGCGGAAUUCCCAGUGUAGCGGUGAAAUGCGUAGAUAUUGGGAGGAACACCAGUGGCGAAGGCGGCUACCUGGACCGGUUCUGACGCUGAGGCGCGAAAGCGUGGGUAGCAAACAGG
rnacentral:rRNA from 1 species